GGUGAACGCUGGCGGUAUGCCUAACACAUGCAAGUCGAACGGCAGCACAGUAAGAGCUUGCUCUUACGGGUGGCGAGUGGCGGACGGGUGAGGAAUACAUCGGAAUCUACUUUUUCGUGGGGGAUAACGUAGGGAAACUUACGCUAAUACCGCAUACGACCUACGGGUGAAAUCAGGGGAUCUUCGGACCUUGCGCGAUUGAAUGAGCCGAUGUCGGAUUAGCUAGUUGGCGGGGUAAAGGCCCACCAAGGCGACGAUCCGUAGCUGGUCUGAGAGGAUGAUCAGCCACACUGGAACUGAGACACGGUCCAGACUCCUACGGGAGGCAGCAGUGGGGAAUAUUGGACAAUGGGCGAAAGCCUGACCCAGCCAUACCGCGUGGGUGAAGAAGGCCUUCGGGUUGUAAAGCCCUUUUGUUGGGAAAGAAAAGCAGCAGGUUAAUACCCCGCCGUUCUGACGGUACCUAAAGAAUAAGCACCGGCUAACUUCGUG
rnacentral:rRNA from 1 species